rnacentral:rRNA from 1 species
GUAGUCCACGCCCUAAACGAUGUCUACUUGCUGUUGGGGGCAACCUCAGUAGCGAAGCUAACGCGAGAAGUAGACCGCCUGGGGAGUACGGUCGCAAGAUUAAAACUCAAAGGAAUUGACGGGGACCCGCACAAGCGGUGGAUGAUGUGGAUUAAUUCGAUGCAACGCGAAGAACCUUACCUGCUCUUGACAUGUUAGGAAGGCUUAAGAGAUUAGGCUGUGCCUUCGGGAACCUAAACACAGGUGCUGCAUGGCUGUCGUCAGCUCGUGUCGUGAGAUGUUGUCUUAAGUGACGCAACGAGCGCAACCCUUGCCACUAGUUGCCAUAAUUAAGUUUGGGACUCUAGUGGGACUGCUGGCAAAAUUGCCAGA